rnacentral:misc_RNA from 1 species
UGGUUCUGGCAUCGAUGAAGAACGCAGCGAAAUGCGAUAAGUAAUGUGAAUUGCAGAAUUCAGUGAAUCAUCGAAUCUUUGAACGCACAUUGCGCCCGCUAGUAUUCUGGCGGGCAUGCCUGUCUGAGCGUCAUUUCAACCCUCGAGCUCCGGUGUCCUAGCGGCAGCGGUAGUACGGCGUUGGGGAUCGGCCCGCCCUGGCGGCGCCGUCCCUCAAAUACAGUGGCGGUCUCGCCCGCACCUCCCCCUGCGUAGUAAAACACCUCGCACCGGGAAGCGGUGAGGCUCUGCCGUAAAACACCCAACUUCUGAACAGUUGACCUCAGAUCAGGUAGGAAUACCCGCUGA